GAUGAACGCUGGCGGCGUGCCUAAUACAUGCAAGUCGAGCGAACAGAUAAGGAGCUUGCUCCUUUGACGUUAGCGGCGGACGGGUGAGUAACACGUGGGUAACCUACCUAUAAGACUGGGAUAACUUCGGGAAACCGGGGCUAAUACCGGAUAAUAUUUCGAACCGCAUGGUUCGAUAGCGAAAGAUGGUUUUGCUAUCACUUAUAGAUGGACCCGCGCCGUAUUAGCUAGUUGGUAAGGUAACGGCUUACCAAGGCGACGAUACGUAGCCGACCUGAGAGGGUGAUCGGCCACACUGGAACUGAGACACGGUCCAGACUCCUACGGGAGGCAGCAGUAGGGAAUCUUCCGCAAUGGGCGAAAGCCUGACGGAGCAACGCCGCGUGAGUGAUGAAGGUCUUCGGAUCGUAAAACUCUGUUAUUAGGGAAGAACAUACGUGUAAGUAACUGUGCACGUCUUGACGGUACCUAAUCAGAAAGCCACGGCUAACUACGUG
rnacentral:rRNA from 1 species